UACGUAGGGGGCAAGCGUUGUCCGGAUUUAUUGGGCGUAAAGAGCGUUUAGGCGGCUUGGUAGGUCCGCUGUGAAAACUCGAGGCUCAACCUCGAGAUGUCGGCGGAAACCACUUGGCUAGAGUCCGGAAGAGGAGAGUGGAAUUCCCGGUGUAGCGGUGAAAUGCGCAGAUAUCGGGAAGAACACCUAUGGCGAAGGCAGCUCUCUGGGACGGUACUGACGCUGAGACGCGAAAGCGUGGGGAGCGAACAGG
rnacentral:rRNA from 1 species